rnacentral:rRNA from 1 species
AAACCAUGCACCGAAGCUGCGGCAGCGAACGUAUCACCCAAGACAACUUUGCGGAGUUGACGAUUGACGGAGCGAAGCGACGUCAAAGCGUUCAUUAAAGUCGAGUUGGCUUAGGGAUACGUUCGUUGGGUAGGGGAGCGUUCUGUAAGCCUGUGAAGGUGGCCUGUGAGGGUUGCUGGAGGUAUCAGAAGUGCGAAUGCUGACAUAAGUAACGAUAAAGCGGGUGAAAAGCCCGCUCGCCGGAAGACCAAGGGUUCCUGUCCAACGUUAAUCGGGGCAGGGUGAGUCGACCCCUAAGGCGAGGCCGAAAGGCGUAGUCGAUGGGAAACGGGUUAAUAUUCCCGUACUUGGUGUUACUGCGAAGGGGGGACGGAGAAGGCUAUGUUGGCCGGGCGACGGUUGUCCCGGUUUAAGCGUGUAGGUGUGUGUUCCAGGUAAAUCCGGUU